UGCCAGCAGCCGCGGUAACACGGGGGGCGCAAGCGUUAUUCGGAAUUAUUGGGCGUAAAGCGCGUGUAGGCGGUUCGUUAAGUCUGAUGUGAAAGCCCGGGGCUCAACCCCGGAACUGCCUCUAAUACUGCUAGUCUUGAGUUCGAGAUAGGUGAGUGGAAUUCCGAGUGUAGAGGUGAAAUUCGUAGAUAUUCGGAGGAACACCAGUGGCGAAGGCGGCUCACUGGCUCGAUACUGACGCUGAGGUGCGAAAGCGUGGGGAGCAAACAGGAUUAGAUA
rnacentral:rRNA from 1 species